rnacentral:lncRNA from 1 species
CAGGCUGCGGCUCGGACCGCACCGGGGAGGGCGGCGUCAGGCGGAAGCGGACCUGGGAGCAGAGGGCAGGGCAGUGACCAGGAAGUGCUGUGGAACAUCAGAUAGAAUGGAUAGCACAGCCCAAAUUUUACAAAAAGGAUUUUAAAGGAAGAUCUCAAUGGUGGAACACUAGAGGCUUUCCUGCUAAAGUUAAGAACAAGCAAAGGCUGACGCAGUUUUGGCAUGCAGGAAGUGUUGGAGCUGAGACUCGAAACUGUCCCCCAGGCCUUGGCCAUGCUGAUAAAUAUCUAGGCCCUACAGGAGUUCGUGUCCAUGAACCCAGUAAACGCAAUUCCUCAGCCUUAAAAUCUAGUCACUGACUCAUUUCAGGCCCCAGCACAGACGAAAACAAGCCAUUCUGUUUGCCCAGUUUACAUUGCGGGUCUCCAAGAAGUGGAAUGUUCACCAAUGAUUUUAAGAAAACAGGGCCUGGCGCGGUGGCUCACGCCUGUAAUCCCAGCACUUUGGGAGGCCGAGGCAGGCAGAUCACCUGAG